CCACAUCGACGGGGAGGUUUGGCACCUCGAUGUCGGCUCAUCGCAUCCUGGGGCUGAAGUAGGUCCCAAGGGUUGGGCUGUUCGCCCAUUAAAGCGGUACGCGAGCUGGGUUCAGAACGUCGUGAGACAGUUCGGUCCCUAUCUGUCGCGGGCGCAGGAAGUUUGAGGAGAGCUGUCCUUAGUACGAGAGGACCGGGAUGGACGCACCGCUGGUGCACCAGUUGUCACGCCAGUGGCACAGCUGGGUAGCUAUGUGCGGAAGGGAUAAGCGCUGAAAGCAUCUAAGCGUGAAGCCCCCUCCAAGAUGAGACUUCCCACAGCGUUAAGCUGGUAAGACCCCUCAUAGACGAUGAGGUUGAUAGGUUCGGUGUGGAAGCGCGGCAACGCGUGGAGCUGACGAAUACUAAUCGGUCGAGGACUUAUCCAC
rnacentral:ncRNA from 1 species